GGGUGAGUCGGCCCCUAAGGCGAGACCGAAAGGUGUAGUCGAUGGGAAACGGAUUAAUAUUUCCGUACCUUGGAUAGCUGCGAUGGAGAGACGGAGAAGGCUAGGUGAGCCGGGCGACGGUUGUCCCGGUUUAAGCAUGUAGGCAGUGGGAUUAGGCAAAUCCGGUCCCACAAUGCCGAGACGCGACGACGACUGCCCUUUUAGGGCGGGAAGUCAUUGAUGCCCUGCUUCCAGGAAAAUCUUCUAAGCUUCAGGCUAUUCGAGACCGUACCCCAAACCGACACAGGUGGUCAGGUA
rnacentral:rRNA from 1 species